UUUCCCAGGCUAGGGGUUGAAUCGGAGCUGCAGCUGCCAGCCUAUACCACAGUCACAGCAACAUGGGAUCCGAGCCAAGUCUUUCACCUACACCACAGCUCAUGGCAACACUGGAUCCUCAAUCCACUGAGUGAGGCCAGGAAUUGAACCUGCAUCCUCAUGGAUGCUAGUCAGAUCCGUUAACUGCUGAGCCACAACGGAAACUCCUACCUCCCAUGUACUUUAUUUUAAUUUGUCUUUUUGCCUUUUCUAGGACUGCUUCUGCGGCAUACAGAGGUUCCCAGGCUAGGGGGUCUAAUCAGAGCUGCAGCUACUGGCCUACACCGCAGCCACAGCAACCUGGGAUCCGAGUCACGUUUGCGACCUACACCACAGCUCACGGAAACGCCGGAUCCUUAGCCCACUGAGCAAGGCCAGGGAUCAAACCCGCAACCUCAUGGUUCCUAGUCGGAUUCAUUAACCACUGCACCACAUCAGGAACUCCCCCUCCCAUGUACUUUAAAUCAUCUCUAGAUUACUUAUAAUACCUAGUACAAUGUAAAUAGUAUAUAAUGUUACCAAGUUUGGCAUGUUCAAGUUUUGCUUUUUGGAACUUUCUAGAAAUUUUUUUCCCGUGUUUCUGAUCUAAGGUUAGUUGAAUCCAUGGGCAUGGAAUCUGCAGGUACAGAGGGCCGACUGUGUAGUAUACAUUCCACUGUGUUAUUUUUAUGAUUAACUGUCAACACAGUUUAUUACCUUUAUUAGAUGACGUAAGGAAAAUGUCUUAAAUCUCUUUUGGAAUUAACCCCAGGAAAAGAUUUUUAUGCAAAAUCUAAAAAUAUAAUUUUAGGGAAUUUAGAAGACCACUGAAGCCUAUCCAUGAAACUUUUAGGCCAAAGGUUAAAAAACAACAACAACAAAACACCUCAGGAGUUCCCAUCAUGGCUCAGUGGAAAGGAAUCUGACUAGCAUCCACAAGGACACAAGUUCGCUCCCUGACCUUGCUCGGUGGGUUAAGGAUUCUGUGUUGUUGUGAGCUGUGGUGUAGGCUGCAGAUGCUGCUCAGAUCUGGCGUUGCUAUGGCUGUAGUGUAGGCCUGCAGCUACAGCUCCGAUUUGACCCCUGGUCUGGGAACGUCCAUAUGCCAUGGUGUGGCCCUAAAAAGACACUUAAAAACAAAAACAAAAAAACAAACAAACAAAAACCCCUCAACAACAACAAAAAAGCCAAAAAGCUAAAAACCAAGCAAACCCUCAACCCCCCCUAAAAUCUUACUUGGGCUUUUAGAAUUUAAAUGUAAAUGAUGACUGUAGUGAUUCUGCUGCUCCGUUUUGUCUCUCCUUUCUCAAUUUUCUAAUACUAGUACUGAUUUUGUAUUUUUGCUUUCUUGCAUAGUCAUGAAUAAAAAUGGGGGAAGGGAGGGGAAUUAAAUAGGCAGCUACUAUUUAUAAAUGUCAUAAACACACAGGUAUCUUGUGCCCUAAGUAAAUCCAUUAAGAGGGAAAAUAUCAGAUUUUCAAUUCUAUCAACACAGUCACACAGGCUUUUUUCUAGUGCACUGAAAAAAGAGCCUAAAUCGUUUAACACAACUAUGUUCAUAUAAUCUUUUAGGAGCAUAUUUAAAUAAAUCUUCCAUAAAUUUUUCUGUGCAAUCCUUUUAGUGGGAAAUCAGAGAGAUGAGAAAAUAAGGAUAAAGUAUUAAAGACUUAGUAUUUCACUAUGUAAAAUUUAUUUGCUUUUGUUUUUAUAAAAAAUGUAUAACACCAGCACCUACUCUUCAAUCAGUUAAUUUAUGAAACCAUUCUCUUUUGUAGAAUACACAUUGGCAUUGAGACAGUUUAAAGAAAUGUAAUGGCUAUCUACAAAAAAUUAGUUUUGAUUUGUUGUAUUUCCCUGUACUUUAUGAGUCUGCACACAUAAAGGAAAAUUAAAAUCUUCAAACAUUCUAUAUUCAGCAAUUAAAAAAAAGGUACACUGCUUUCCUGCUAUGGUCUUUGAUAAAGGACUUAAAGUUUCAAGUUAAAAAAAAAAGGUACUGGGAUAACUCUGCUGUAUCUUAUAACCUUUUAUAUAGAAUGAUUUGAAUUGGCAUGCAAGCAACUUUUUUAGUUGUCACAUACCUGUAAUUGAGGGAAAAUUACACCCAUUUUACAGAAAAAUCCCAAUACAUAUACCGCAAUAAGCUCAAAGCAAUGUUAAAAAGACCAGUGUGAAUGGCACACAAAAACUGUUUCUUUAUAAAUUAUUAACUGGAAUUCCUGAUCAUGAAGUAGGCACGGGGAGAUCCAGUUCUUACGGCUUUGCUCUCUGGAAGAAUACCUGUAAAUAAAACCUCAAAAAAUCCACGCAUAAUGUAAGUUAAGAACUUUUUCUUCUGGACAAUUUGGUAAGGUCCAGAGAUAACUUAUGUUGCCAUACUGAGUUGGGAAACUAGGAAAAAUAUGGUAUGACCUCCAAUACUGAGAUUCAAGCAGUCAGAGGAAAAUAUGCUUUCGACACCUUUUUGCUGACUAGCACUACCGUCAAAGUUAACGCUAGGAAAAUAAAUUCUGAGGAGGAAAUAAAACAAGUCAAAGCUAAAGACAGCAGUUGUUAUCCCUUAUGGAAUUUACUGUUUAUUUGAUUAUUAAAAAAAUACUUUAAAUUCAACACUUGAGACCAUGAGCGAGUAGGCUAGAGGUUGUGCUAGGCACUGGCCCAAUAUUACUACCUUCCAUAGUUAGGGACAUGUUGAGUGAGCACUAGAAAGAGUAAAUGUAGGCAGUAUGCUCAUUGUGGAUAAGGACUGUAUUGAUAAGGAUUGUAUUGAUCAUUAAUUAUAUUCCUAAUACCUAGUAGAGCAGACAUUCAGUUAACAAUUACUGGCAAUCCACUAAGGGGAGAGAAAAGAAUCAUCACUAUAUGGACAAAAAAUAGCCUUAAUUAAAGAGACCAUGCUUGAGCUAAGUCUGGAAAAAUGAGCAAAAUUCAUAAAGGAGAAAGGCGCUAAUAAGGCAGAAUUUUUGAAGAAUAGCAGGACUAGUAAAGACUGUUGUUCCUGGAGUUCCCGUUGUGGCUCAGUGGAAACCCAACUAGUAACCAUGAGGAUGUCAGGUUCGAUCCCUGGACUCACUCAGUGGUUUGAUCCCUGGCCUCACUCAGUGGGUCAAGGAUCCCAAAUUGCUGUGAGCUGUGGAGUAGGCCAGUGGCUACAGCUCUGAUUUGACCCCUAGCCUGGGAACUUCCAUAUGCUGUGGGUCUGGCCCAAAAGAGACCAAAAACAAAAGGAAAAAAAAAGAGAAUAAAGGUAGUCUGAGAUCAGAAUAUGGAAAUAAAAAGAAAACACCUAAAUGCCAAACUAAGAAAUUUGUCCUUGUUUGUAGUUAACAAUAGGUUUAUGAAGAUUGUGAAGAAGAAGGGGAAUGAAUUUCAGAGGACUCUUCAAUGUUUUCAGACAGAUCAGCCUGGACAGAACAAGAGAAGGGAAGUUAGAGGGAUAACAGAAGCCUACACCGGAGUGGCAGCAGUACAGACAGAAAGGAAGGGAGAGAGCGAGGAGGAAACAAUCAGCAAGAUGUAAGGAUCAAUCACACAGGAAGAGAGUGGGCACAAAAGAAGGCACUUCAUUUUUUCCAACUAGAAGGAUAAUGCUAUCGCUGAGAUAAUGCUGUCACUGAAGAGAAGUUGGGCUUGGGAGGAAGAUUUUAUACACGCUGUUUGGAUGCAUAUGUUUAAAGCACAAGCCUGCUACAAAGUUCCUAGAUCUGCUGUUCCAGAUACCUCUAACAGAGAGUUCGUUGUUCAGUCCUUUAGUCCUUUAACAGCCCUUCAACAGAGGUCACCGCCACAGGCACUUUGUGUUUUGGGGAAAUGGGGGGGUGGGGCGGGGGACUGUUCUCAAUGAUAAAAAGUAACUCUUACUAUCUUCUCACAAACUCUUUUGUCAGUUUAAGGUGAUAAACUACUACUGGGGGUGGGGGGGAACUGGCAAGGGACCAUGUGUGAGCCAAAGUCAAAGCACACUUAUUUAUCAGCAAAGCCCCUUGUCUUGAAUACCUUGGGCAAAGGUACCAGAGAGCCACUCAUGAAGUUGCCUGCCAACAAGAAAUUUAGCAGUGCUUUACCCUUAAGUUUGUUGAGUGAAAAUAAUAAAUAAAAAUAAAGAACUCUUUCUCAUCCUGUCACAAUGUAACUUUGUAUUUCUAGACCAUGAGCUCCUUGUGGGCAGGGACAAGUCACACAUAUUGGCAUCUGCAGCAGUCAGCAUAGUACCUGUGACAUAAAAAGCAGUCACAGAGUACUGAAUGACUGACUACCUGGGUGACAGAAAGACAGUUCUGUUUCGCAGACUUAACAGUAUAAAUGAAUACCAAAUAAACAUUUGGUAUUUCUUGCCAACUUGGAGGUUUGCUGGAAAUUGGUCCUUUUAUGAAUGUAAAAAGAGCUUUAAUGGCCAAGUUUGAGGAUUCUAUUUUUGGUCUCCUUUAGCAAUUCAAAAGUUUCAAGAUAGGAUAUAACUAAAUAACUCAUACUUCUGUUUUUUUAUUUUUUUUAUUUUUAGUUCUUUCAACUCAAUAUGGGCAGCUGUUCUUUUUUUUUUUGCUUUUUAGGGCCACACCCGUGGCAUA
rnacentral:lncRNA from 1 species